rnacentral:rRNA from 1 species
GAUGAACGCUGGCGGCGUGCCUAAUACAUGCAAGUCGAGCGAACGGACGAGAAGCUUGCUUCUCUGAUGUUAGCGGCGGACGGGUGAGUAACACGUGGAUAACCUACCUAUAAGACUGGGAUAACUUCGGGAAACCGGAGCUAAUACCGGAUAAUAUUUUGAACCGCAUGGUUCAAAAGUGAAAGACGGUCUUGCUGUCACUUAUAGAUGGAUCCGCGCUGCAUUAGCUAGUUGGUAAGGUAACGGCUUACCAAGGCAACGAUGCAUAGCCGACCUGAGAGGGUGAUCGGCCACACUGGAACUGAGACACGGUCCAGACUACUACGGGAGGCAGCAGUAGGGAACCGUCCGCAAUGGGCGAAAGCCUGACGGAGCAACGCCGCGUGAGUGAUGAAGGUCUUCGGAUCGUAAAACUCUGUUAUUAGGGAAGAACAUAUGUGUAAGUAACUGUGCACAUCUUGACGGUACCUAAUCAGAAAGCCACGGCUAACUACGUG